rnacentral:rRNA from 1 species
UAUGUGAUCGUCUCUCGCAUAUCAAUAAGCGGAGGAAAAGAAACUAACAAGGAUUCCCCUAGUAACGGCGAGUGAAGCGGGAAGAGCUCAAAUUUGAAAUCUUAAAGGGUUUCCCUUUACGAAUUGUAGUUUAAAGAAGUGUUUUCUGUUGAGGUUUUGGUAAAAGUUCUUUGGAAUAGGACAUCAUAGAGGGUGAGAAUCCCGUAUUUGACCUUUACUUUCAACUUUGUGAUACACUUUCAAAGAGUCGGAUUGUUUGGGAAUGCAGUCCAAAAUGGGUGGUAAAUUUCAUCUAAAGCUAAAUAUUGGCGAGAGACCGAUAGCGAACAAGUACCGUGAGGGAAAGAUGAAAAGAACUUUGAAAAGAGAGUUAAACAGUACGUGAAAUUGUCAAAAGGGAAGCGUUUGACACCAGUGUUGUUUUUCUGAAAAUCAAUUAAAGAACUGUUUAUGCUAAGCUGUUUAGACUUUAUCAGCUAACUGUUUAGUUUUGAGCUUUUCUUUAAUGCACUUUUCAGUUAACAAGUCAACAUCAAUUUCUUUUGCUGUAAAAAAGCUUGAGGAAGGUGGCUUGAGAUUCGUCUUAAGUGUUUAUAGCCUCUUGCCUAUGCAGUCGGAGAGAUUGAGGUCUGCAGCGUAGAUCCUUCGGGGCUAAAUGCAUUUGUGCUAAGUUAUAGCAUUUUAUAGACAACUUGUUGACUAUGAUUUGUCUUGUAGCUUACUCGCUUAUGUUAUUUUACCUACGCUUAGGAUGUUGAGUCGUAGAGCACGCAG